rnacentral:tRNA from 1 species
UGGGGAGUCGUCUAAUGGCAGGACAGCGGCCUUUGGAGCCGUUAGUAAUGGUUCGAAUCCAUUCUCCCCAGCCA